CGGCGGUUUGUCUUCUCUGGAUUGAGGUGCAUUUGCGGGCGUUUGCGCUGAGACUUGCGAGGCAGCUGCGGGACCGGCGUCUAGAGGCUUCCCAUUGGGUUGAACCUGGGCGCCGUUACAGCUGUUUGCCUUGCUCGUACUGGUCUGGCCUACGGACCCUGCUCGUGCUGUUGUCAACUGGCCAAGGCAUCGCAUGCGAUGUCUAGCCUGGGGGCUGCAGCGCGGGUUGGUGUCCCCGGAUCGCCUCUCGGUGUAGAAGCUGGUCAUCUCUCCGACCCGUCUUGAAACACGGACCAAGGAGUUUAGCGUAUGCGCGAGUCAUUGGGUGUUAAAACCCACAGGCGCAAUGAAAGUGAAGGCUCGGUCGCCGGGCUGACAUGCGAGUGCCGCGGCUUCGGCCCAGGCAUGCAGCAUGGUCCCAUUGCAAUCGUUUACGAUGCAGUGGAGACAGAGCGUAUGCGCUGAGACCCGAAAGAUGGUGAACUAUUCCUGAGCAGGACGAAGCCAGAGGAAACUCUGGUGGAAGUCCGAAGCGAUUCUGACGUGCAAAUCGAUCGUCUGACUUGGGUAUAGGGGC
rnacentral:rRNA from 1 species